UCACCUCCACAGACUGCCAGCCCCCAGGCUGGGCUGGGCGAGUAUCUCUUCAAAAGGCUCACCCUCAAGCACAACUAGAAGC
rnacentral:pre_miRNA from 1 species